rnacentral:rRNA from 1 species
GAUGAACGCUAGCUACAGGCUUAACACAUGCAAGUCGAGGGGAAACGACAUUGAAGCUUGCUUCGAUGGGCGUCGACCGGCGCACGGGUGAGUAACGCGUAUCCAACCUGCCUCUGACUAAGGGAUAACCCGGCGAAAGUCGGACUAAUACCUUAUGAGGUUUUCUGCAGACAUCUAACGAAAACGAAAGAUUUAUCGGUCAGUGAUGGGGAUGCGUCUGAUUAGCUUGUUGGCGGGGUAACGGCCCACCAAGGCAACGAUCAGUAGGGGUUCUGAGAGGAAGGUCCCCCACAUUGGAACUGAGACACGGUCCAAACUCCUACGGGAGGCAGCAGUGAGGAAUAUUGGUCAAUGGACGAGAGUCUGAACCAGCCAAGUAGCGUGCAGGAUGACGGCCCUAUGGGUUGUAAACUGCUUUUGUAUGGGGAUAAAGUCAAUCACGUGUGAUUGUUUGCAGGACCAUACGAAUAAGG